AUUGAACGCUGGCGGCAGGCCUAACACAUGCAAGUCGAACGCGUGGCGGACGGGUGAGUAAUGUCUGGGAAACGGCCUGAUGGAGGGGGAUAACUACGGGAAAGGUUAGCUAAUCCCGCAUACAAUCAGAUUGUCCAAGAUGGGAUUAGCUGGUGGGGGUGGUAACGGCUCACCAAGGCGCCGAUCCCUAGCUGGUCUGAGUGGAUGACCAGCCACACUGGAACUGAGCCACGGUCCAGACUCCUACGGGAGGCAGCAGUGGGGAAUAUUGCACAAUGGGCGCAAGCCUGAUGCAGCCAUGCCGCGUGUAUGAAGAAGGCCUUCGGGUUGUAAAGUACUUUCAGCGGGGAGGCGUUACCCGCAGAAGAAGCACCGGCUAACUCCGUGCCAGCCGCCGCGGUAAUUC
rnacentral:rRNA from 1 species